UACGAAGGGGGCUAGCGUUGUUCGGAAUUACUGGGCGUAAAGCGCACGUAGGCGGAUGUUUAAGUUAGGGGUGAAAUCCCAGGGCUCAACCCUGGAACUGCCUCUAAUACUGGGCAUCUAGAGUCCGAGAGAGGUGAGUGGAAUUCCGAGUGUAGAGGUGAAAUUCGUAGAUAUUCGGAGGAACACCAGUGGCGAAAGGCGGCUCACUGGCUCGGUACUGACGCUGAGGUGCGAAAGCGUGGGGAGCAAACAGG
rnacentral:rRNA from 1 species